rnacentral:rRNA from 1 species
AAUGGGCGAAAGCCUGAUGCGGCAACGCCGCGUGAACGAUGAAGUUUUUAGGAAUGUAAAGUUCUGUCGUAUGGGAAGAGUCUUCGAAUGUUAAUACCAUUCGUUAAUGACGGUACCAUACAAGAAAGCACCGGCUAACUUCGUGCCAGCAGCCGCGGUAAUACGAGGGGUGCUAGCGUUGUCCGGAUUUACUGGGCGUAAAGGGUACGUAGGCGUUUUAAAAAGUUGAAUGUUAAAUAUCUUAGCUUAACUAAGAAAGUGCAUUCAAAACUGUUAAAAUAGAGUUUGAGAGAGGAACGCAGAAUUCAUGGUGGAGCGGUGACAUGCGUAGAUAUCAUGAGGAAAGUCAAAUGCGAAGGCAGCCUUCUGGCUCAAAACUGACGCUGAGGUACGAAAGCGUGGGGAGCGAACGGGAUU